AAGUCGUAACAAGGUUUUCGUAGGUGAACCUGCGGAAGGAUCAUUAAUGAAUCUCGGGAGUCCCUCCUAACCGGAGAAGGCCCGCAUCAUUAUUUCACACACUUGUGCAUUUGUCCCCCUUUUCAAUACCUUUAACCCUGUAUGCAUUUGAAACAGUCAUUGGUUAACAAACAUGAUAAAUGAAAGAAAAACUUUCAGCAAUGGAUCUCUUGGCUCUC
rnacentral:misc_RNA from 1 species